GGGCUCAUGGUCUAGUGGUUAUGACGUCGCCCUGACACGGCGAAGUUCCCCGGUUCGAAUCCGGGUGAGCCCA
rnacentral:tRNA from 1 species